UUGACUGUCCCAGCAAGUGAAGUCCUCUGUUUAUCCACAGAACAGGCACUGCAUGUAUAGUAAUGCAUAUUUCUCUGAGCUUGCCUCCAAUGUACUUCAACUCUGUCUUGGAGGGUGUCAGGGAUCAGGCCCUGCAGUAGAUUUGGUCUCCUAGCAACU
rnacentral:sRNA from 1 species